rnacentral:rRNA from 1 species
UGAACGCUGGCGGCAGGCCUAACACAUGCAGGUCGAGCGGUAGCACAGAGAGCUUGCUCUCGGGUGACGAGCGGCGGACGGGUGAGUAAUGUCUGGGAAACUGCCUGAUGGAGGGGGAUAACUACUGGAAACGGUAGCUAAUACCGCAUAAUGUCGCAAGACCAAAGUGGGGGACCUUCGGGCCUCAUGCCAUCAGAUGUGCCCAGAUGGGAUUAGCUAGUAGGUGGGGUAACGGCUCACCUAGGCGACGAUCCCUAGCUGGUCUGAGAGGAUGACCAGCCACACUGGAACUGAGACACGGUCCAGACUCCUACGGGAGGCAGCAGUGGGGAAUAUUGCACAAUGGGCGCAAGCCUGAUGCAGCCAUGCCGCGUGUGUGAAGAAGGCCUUCGGGUUGUAAAGCACUUUCAGCGGGGAGGAAGGCGGUGAGGUUAAUAACCUCACCGAUUGACGUUACCCGCAGAAGAAGCACCGGCUAACUCCGUGCCAGCAGCCGCGGUAAUACGGAGGGUGCAAGCGUUAAUCGGAAUUACUGGGCGUAAAGCGCACGCAGGCGGUCUGUCAAGUCGGAUGUGAAAUCCCCGGGCUCAACCUGGGAACUGCAUUCGAAACUGGCAGGCUAGAGUCUUGUAGAGGGGGGUAGAAUUCCAGGUGUAGCGGUGAAAUGCGUAGAGAUCUGGAGGAAUACCGGUGGCGAAGGCGGCCCCCUGGACAAAGACUGACGCUCAGGUGCGAAAGCGUGGGGAGCAAACAGGAUUAGAUACCCUGGUAGUCCACGCCGUAAACGAUGUCGAUUUGGAGGUUGUGCCCUUGAGGCGUGGCUUCCGGAGCUAACGCGUUAAAUCGACCGCCUGGGGAGUACGGCCGCAAGGUUAAAACUCAAAUGAAUUGACGGGGGCCCGCACAAGCGGUGGAGCAUGUGGUUUAAUUCGAUGCAACGCGAAGAACCCUACCUGGUCUUGACAUCCACAGAACUUUCCAGAGAUGGAUUGGUGCCUUCGGGAACUGUGAGACAGGUGCUGCAUGGCUGUCGUCAGCUCGUGUUGUGAAAUGUUGGGUUAAGUCCCGCAACGAGCGCAACCCUUAUCCCUUGUUGCCAGCGGUCCGGCCGGGAACUCAAAGGAGACUGCCAGUGAUAAACUGGAGGAAGGUGGGGAUGACGUCAAGUCAUCAUGGCCCUUACGACCAGGGCUACACACGUGCUACAAUGGCAUAUACAAAGAGAAGCGACCUCGCGAGAGCAAGCGGACCUCAUAAAGUAUGUCGUAGUCCGGAUUGGAGUCUGCAACUCGACUCCAUGAAGUCGGAAUCGCUAGUAAUCGUAGAUCAGAAUGCUACGGUGAAUACGUUCCCGGGCCUUGUACACACCGCCCGUCACACCAUGGGAGUGGGUUGCAAAAGAAGUAGGUAGCUUAACCUUCGGGAGGGCGCUUACCACUUUGUGAUUCAUGACUGGGGUGAA